UAAAGUGGCUACCCGGUGCAAUAUGAUAAUACUCUUGAUACAAUCUCCUUUGUUUUCACUUCCCCAUUUUGCCAUCUUAUUACAGACAGAGGUUCCGCUGUUAGAUUAGCAAACUCCAUUUCUUCGCGCUCUCUCUCUCUCUCUCUCUCUCACACACACACACACACACACACAAGCAAUUCCAAGUUAGAAAGAUCUCUUCACCGUACUGUAAUUUCUCUGAUCUGUAGGGCUCUUCAUUUACUAAUCUCUGAUUCACUCAAUUCAUCCAUAAAAUGCCUUUGAGGUUGGAGAUUAAGAGGAAACUUGCUCAAAGAUCGGAAAGGGUAAAGUCUGUCGAUCUACAUCCUUCCGAGCCAUGGAUAUUGGCAAGUUUGUAUUCGGGGACUCUAUGCAUCUGGAACUACCAGACCCAGACAAUGGUAAAAUCUUUCGAAGCUACUGAAUUACCAGUUAGGUCAGCAAAGUUUAUACCACGCAAGCAAUGGGUUGUUGCUGGUGCUGAUGACAUGUUUAUUCGUGUUUACAAUUACAAUACCAUGGAUAAAGUCAAGGUAUUCGAGGCGCACACAGAUUAUAUUAGGUGUGUGGCUGUCCAUCCUACACUACCAUAUGUGCUGUCAUCAUCUGAUGACAUGCUAAUAAAGCUCUGGGAUUGGGAGAAGGGAUGGUUAUGCACUCAAAUAUUUGAAGGUCAUUCCCAUUAUGUUAUGCAAGUCACCUUUAAUCCGAAAGACACCAAUACUUUUGCUAGUGCAUCUCUUGAUCGGACUAUAAAGAUUUGGAACCUUGGCUCUCCUGAUCCAAACUUCACGCUGGAUGCUCAUCUUAAAGGGGUUAAUUGCGUAGACUAUUUCACUGGGGGUGAUAAACCCUAUCUAAUUACUGGUUCUGACGACCACACUGCUAAGGUGUGGGACUAUCAGACAAAAAGUUGUGUUCAGACUCUUGAAGGCCACACUCACAAUGUCUCUGCUGUAUGUUUUCAUCCCGAGCUUCCAAUUAUAAUUACAGGUUCUGAAGACGGUACUGUUCGUAUAUGGCACGCAACCACUUAUAGACUGGAGAAUACUUUGAAUUAUGGUCUUGAAAGAGUAUGGGCGAUUGGUUACAUGAAAGGUUCAAGGAGGGUUGUAAUUGGUUAUGAUGAGGGAACCAUCAUGGUAAAACUUGGUCGAGAAGUACCUGUUGCCAGUAUGGAUAACAGUGGAAAAGUUAUUUGGGCUAAACACAAUGAAGUUCAGACUGUUAACAUCAAGAGUGUCGGGGCAGGUUAUGAGGUCGCUGAGGGAGAAAGACUGCCUUUGGCUGUCAAGGAAUUGGGAUCUUGUGACCUCUACCCACAAAGCUUGAAGCAUAAUCCAAAUGGAAGAUUUGUCGUUGUUUGUGGAGAUGGAGAAUAUAUCAUAUAUACUGCUCUUGCUUGGAGAAAUAGGUCAUUUGGCUCAGCUUUGGAAUUUGUUUGGUCUUCGGAUGGAGAAUAUGCUGUGAGGGAAAGUACUUCAAAGAUUAAGAUCUUCAGCAAAAAUUUCCAGGAGAAGAAGAGCAUCCGACCUACUUUCUCUGCUGAGCGCAUCUAUGGGGGUACCUUAUUGGCAAUGUGCUCAAAUGAUUUCAUAUGUUUCUAUGAUUGGGCUGAGUGCAGGUUGAUACGGCGAAUUGAUGUUAAUGUUAAAAAUCUAUACUGGGCCGACAGUGGUGAUCUGGUGGCAAUUGCAAGUGAUACAUCAUUCUACAUACUUAAGUAUAAUCGAGAUGUGGUCUCUGCACAUUUAGAUAGUGGAAGAUCAGUAGAUGAACAAGGUGUUGAAGAAGCUUUUGAACUUCUUAAUGAGAUCAAUGAACGGGUCAGGACUGGGAUUUGGGUUGGGGAUUGCUUCAUUUACAACAAUUCUUCCUGGAAACUUAACUAUUGUGUUGGCGGUGAGGUCACCACAAUGUUUCACCUUGAUCGGCCCAUGUAUCUGCUGGGAUAUCUUGCUAAUCAGAGCAGGGUUUUUCUGAUUGACAAGGAGUUUAAUGUUGUGGGAUAUACUCUACUCCUUGGCUUGAUUGAGUACAAGACACUUGUGAUGCGUGGUGACUGGGACAGAGCUAAUGAGGUCUUGCCAUCAAUUCCUAAGGAGCAUCACAACAGUGUUGCUCAUUUCUUGGAAUCACGCGGAAUGAUAGAGGAAGCAUUAGAAGUUGCUACAGACCCUGACUACAGAUUUGAGCUAGCCAUACAGUUGGGUAAAUUAGACAUUGCACAGGAAAUUGCUGCAGUGGCACAGAGUGAGUCCAAAUGGAAACAGUUGGGUGACCUAGCCAUGUCUAGUGGAAGGCUUGAGAUGGCAGAGGAGUGUUUGAAGCAUGCAAAUGACUUGAGUGGUUUAUUGCUACUCUAUUCUUCUCUAGGAGAUGCUGAAGGAAUAACUGAACUAGCUUCUUUCGCCAAAGAGCACGGGAAAAACAAUGUUGCAUUCCUUUGCAUGUUCCUGUUGGGUAAAGUCGAGGAGUGCAUUCAGCUGUUGGUUGACAGCAAUCGGAUACCCGAGGCUGCAUUUAUGGCAAGAUCUUAUCUGCCUAGUAAGGUUCCUGAAAUAGUUUCAAUUUGGAGGAAGGACCUCAGUAAGGUUAACCAGAAAGCAGCAGAAGCUUUAGCUGACCCUGAAGAAUACCCCAACCUGUUUGAGCACUGGCAAAUUGCACAUGCUGUUGAAGCUAGAGCUGCGGAAGAAAGGGGUGUCUAUCCGCCAGCGGCAGAUUAUGUAAAUUAUGCUGAUAGACCAACUACUAACCUCGUAGAAGCUUUCAGCAAUAUGAGAAUGGAUGAAGAACAACUUGAAAAUGGAGAGUUGGAUCAUGAGGCUGCAGAACAGAGUGGUGAUGAGGUGCAAGAACAGGUUGAAGAUGACCUUCAACAAGAGGGCCAAGAAGAGGCGGUUGUGGUGGAUGCUGACUCUACUGAUGGUGCAGUACUUGUUAAUGGAAAUGAGGUUGAAGAAGAGUGGGGUACGAAUACUGAAGGAAAACCGUCAGCCUAAAAGCAAUUGGUUGGGUUGGUGUGAAAUCCUAGUUUUGUUGCUGUCCUCACACCACGUCAUUAGGUCCUGCCAAGACAGAUGGUUCCAGUUGUAUGUAAUCCGUUCUUAAGAUUCUGCUGCCUUAGAAGGACGGUUCAGGGGACCAGAUGUCCGUUUUGCCCAGUGGUGUGAUUUUGUAGCAAUGAGUUUUGUUGGGAUGCCGUAUAAAGACAUUUGUUUCCAGCUUCGGUUAUUAGCUCUAGACACAUGAUAGCUUUACAUUAUUCUUUCGAGGCGUAAAUUCUUACCUUGCAAAUUCUUACGUGCCCUUGAGAAUGUAGAAACACUUAUACCAUAUAUAAAAGCGGGAAAAGUGCAGAAAGUGUUUUAAUUUC